UUGGAGUAUGCCGAAAAUCCGAACAAAGAGUAGGCA
rnacentral:ncRNA from 1 species